GGGGCUGUGGCUCAGUGGUAGAGCAUCUGCUUGGUACGUGAAAGGUCCCAGGUUCAAACACUGACACCUCCA
rnacentral:tRNA from 1 species